rnacentral:lncRNA from 1 species
GCGAGUGCGGGCCUACGCACGGGGAAGAGAGAGCAGAUGAAAGACUGCGCGGGAGGAACACGACCGGCCCCUGAGGCUUGCGCAGGGUGGUUGCUAACUACCCUUAUCUUCUCCCGACAAGUUGCCCCUCAUUAUCGCCCAUUAUGAGACCGCCCGCCAAUUCGAGCAGUCAUUGAAUCAAAUGCAAAUUGGCGAAAUUAAUUGCGUGAGCGUGAUACACUAUAGUACCGUAAUUGCGCGUCAGUUUUUCUAUAAUUUACCAUCGCAAAAAACACAUGUGAUUAGCUGUUUGGACGUUUUAAUUGCUAUUUAUCUUAAGAUAGCACACACAUUUUUUUGUUUUAUUUAUAUACAUACAUGUACACUUGAAAGAUUUUUUAAUUAAAAUUGUCGUAUACGUAUUAAAUAUUAUGCAAGAUUUGAAGCAGCUUUUUUUGACAUAAAAGUUAUUGUAUGACAGAAUAUGUUUUUAGUUUUAAUGUAUAAAAUCUUAUAAUAAUGACGCUUUUUACUUUAAUUGAAGUAUAUAUGUUUGUAACAGUGUGUCGAAAAAAAGCGAAUUUCAUCAUUCAAUCUCAUCUUAUUUCUGUUUAUAAUUCCUGAAAGCUUGAAACAUCUUUAAAUCUAAUCUUCUACUUCUGAUGAUGUCACAUCGAGUUUUCGCAAAAGAGCAAGGAACGAAAAUACAACAGAGACGUCUUACGCGUAUUCAGAGAAUUGAUAGAAUCAGCGAUCUGUUUGGACGUUGUUUAAACAAAGGACGAUGGCAAGCAGAUAUGAUAACGGCGCCAUUUCGUCGGCGAGUUAUAGGGUAGAAGCACAGGUUGGUGCGCUGGGUGGUUCUUCUGGCGCGACGCCAGGCGUCCGCCGAAUUUAGCACCGCGGCGCUGACUAACUCGCGUGGCAUUCAUUCAAUCGUCGACCAAAAAGCCUCGCUGCCUGCAUAGUAUCUUGCUCUUUGCGCGAAACGUGAGUUCUGAGGAGAUUAGAAAAAAAGAUCAAAUUUUUCUGAAAGUCACUUCAAAUGCGAAAUAUUCCAAGGAAACACUCCCCAGUAGAAUUUCCCGAAUAUUGCUUUUUGUCGACGAUUUUUGAAAUGCCGAUUUCUUCUCGCUUUAAAAAGUUAAUUAUUAUUUUCAAUUGCGAUUUUAUUAACAGCAUCAAACACUGAACACUUUUAUGAAUACAAUAGAAAUACAAAUUUUAUUAGAUUUUAUUCUAAAAUAAGAGCAAAUUUGAUUGGAAAGUUGAGAGACAAAUUGUUUCUAAAUUGAAAAACAGUUAAUAAGACUUUAAUAAUUUAAAUAAUAUGUUAGGAAGAAAAAUCUCAAAAAGGACACUGGAUAUUCGUGUGCAAGAAUUUUAUUUAAGAUGAUGUCAAACGCGUUGCAACGCGAACGCAUUUGAAAAUAUGUACGUACGCCGAAUAUGCAAACGUUUCAACUCACAUCACGAGUCUUCUUCAGUGCAAAGUGUAAAAAGAUUGUUUGUGAGAUUGCAAGAUUGUCUAUAGUCGCACAAUACGUCAUUCGGAGUAAAACGCGCGACAGCAGGAAAGCUCUAGAUGGGAGUUGCGGAACAGGUGUCCCGGCGGGCAGCGUAAAUCGUAAAUCGUCGACGGUAUCGUCGUCGAACGGCCAAAAAUAAAGUCACGAGUUCCCCGAGCACGUCGAGCGAGCAAGAGCACAUCCUCGACCGACACAGACGCAAUUCGAUCGCAGAAGCCGCUUCCAUCAACGUAACCGACAUUGCAACCGACAAUGCUAUAGCGGAGCAUCUUCUCGUUGCUUGAUGUGCGCGCUUUAUCCGACGGUGCAUCCUACAGGUGCCCAAAGGUGUUCCGCUCGCCCACCAGCGCGAUUCGCGUAUUUUCGGCGCUCUUGGAGCGCUCCCAGAUGCGGAGGAGGAGGAAAUACGCGAUAGCGAGUAGGCGAUCUUGACGGAUAAAUCGCGACCGCGGUCACGUGCGGAAGAGUGAGGAAGAAUACUCUCGCGAGGCAUGCGAGAAGGGAGAACGACAUUUGUUCAAGAUCACGAUCGUAAAGGAAUGCCCGAUGAAGACCUCAUCCCGCCCCUCCCAAACAGUUUCGAUGAAACCGUUCUCUUCGAAAUGAGAAUGUGGAUGGUAAUAAAUUACACUAAACGAUUUGUACGAGAGAGUCUACCAAAUCGGGACGCGCUUGUAAGAGAGGAAUUUCCCAUUUUGGGUAAUUUCUCGCCUGAGGAAGAUGGAUAAGUGCGAGGGCGGAUAUAUAGGUUUUUUGCGUUGAUUCCCGGGCGGGGAUACCGAGUCAUUAGGAGAGUGAUUCCAUCACGGGGCGGCCGGGAUCGUUUAGGACGAGAGAGCGUGACUGGAUCGUCUGUCCCGAUGUGUAAAGUAUCCGGAUAUACGAAGGGCUCGGUUCCACCUAUAAAUCAGCGGCCUUCCGCGUGCGCCAGCCUCCUUUCCUCGAGCUAGGCCAGGAGCAAGUACUUUCCGCGUGCCGGAAAAAAGGGAAAAGCACGCGAUCGCUAUUUAAAAGGCUCGUGGGCGACUUUCUAGCUCCGGAUUUCGGAGUACGUAUAUACGAAGAUGAGGCGAGGGAGAGAGAAAGAGAGAGAAGGAAAGAGGACUUCGACUUUGCCUCUCCUCCGGCGGCCUCGGCAUGGGGUUGUCGUGCUAUUUUCAGGCCCCGCCGGCUCGGUGCAGCUGUCGUGGACUUCGGGUAAACCACCUCUCUUCUAUUCCACGGCCAUCCGCGAGGCGCAACAAGGUCAAGAGAUCACUCGCGGCCGCGAAGGUGUCUAAGCCCAAAAGAAGGAAGGAAAUCUAAUUAUAGAAGUCGUUGUACCGCGUGCUCAGUGGAGAACGAUGGAGGGUGUGAGUGCGGGUGCACGAAUAAGAAUCGGUUGUGCAUUGGGCGGCCAUAAAAUGCAGUCUGCAUCCGCUCGACGCAGAUGUACCGCGGAACGGGGUUCGUUCCUUCUACAAGGAGUCCGCAAAGGAUCUCUCGUUUUGAUGUUAGGCGGAUCCACCGACGAUAUGCUCAGUGCAACAGAACAGAAUAAAGAUUCGCAAAUAUGCAAUUAAUCGAAACGAUCCGUUAAACAAAAAACAAAUAAAAAUUAAGAUUAGAUUAGAUAGGCUAUCUUAAUAUUAAUGUUAAUUAGUAACUUCAUUGAAAACUUUUCCAGCACGUUGAUGCGUUAUCUCAGAUAUGGCAUGAUAUCGUUCAUUACACCAUUCAUCCGGGAGCCAUGUGGUUCAUUGCUAACUCGUGCGGCACUUCCUGUCUCGUAUGGUGAUAUAAAAAUGAUUCUAGUACUUUGUACCGUCAAAGAAUCACGAGAAUCGCACAAAAUUAUAUAAAAUAUAUAUGUACGCUUAUGCAUAGGAUAUAUAAAAUAUAACAAAAAAGAUCAUUUCAAAUAUGCUAAAUAUAUCUUUGCGUUUAAUAUAAUAUAUAUUUUACGUAUUUAAAUUAAUAAAAGAAUCAACAGCCAUUAUUUAAUCAAGUGUACAGUAUGCAAAGUACAGAUGAACAAAAACAAAUAGAUCUUUUCUCCCUGUAAAGAAACAGAAAUCUUUAUUCUUUUUUUUGCAGUUACCGUUACUUCGUAAUGCAAAGUUUCCUUUCAAUUUCGCUAAUGCAAGCUUACGCCGAUUGCUCCUGGAGUAAGGUCCAAACGUCGAUAAGUUUCAGCUGCUAGAUCUCGCGCGUGAUCAACUCGUGCCGGGCAGGCUACGAUUAUUAUUGUUUCCCUUUUCUCUCCUCUCUUUCUCUCUCUCGAAGUAGCCGAGUGUAUGCCCGUGACGUGGCCAUGUAAGGGCUAGGCGGGGGUGCCAUGCCGGGGUAGCUAAUUUUAGAUCGACUCCCGUACUUCCAGGAGUCGACUCGGCGAAUCGGCAGCUGGUGAUUCGACGAGCUGCUGCCUCUCUCGCGCGUGCACGUGAGUCCGGACGUACAAUGCGUGUCGCCCGGCAUCGUCCACCAGUCAUCCGCCUUCACGCUUUUCUCGUCUCGGAGAAGACCGACGUGUCCAAGCGUCCUGGUCCAGAUGUGUCUCCCUCCGAGACACGCGGUCACAAUCGAUCAAGAGAGUCUUCUCGAGUAGAACACGACGAUGUCAGCGAGAAAAACCGGAAAUAGAGCGGAGACUUUGAGAGGCGUCGGAGAGAAGAACCGCGGGCAAAGGCGGG